rnacentral:rRNA from 1 species
AUAGGUUAAGUUAAUAAGGGCGCAUGGUGGAUGCCUUGGAACUAGAAGGCGAUGAAGGACGUGACUAACUACGAUAUGCCUCGGUUAGCUGUAAGUAAGCUUACCCGGGGGUUUCCGAAUGGGGCAACCCGAUCUUAAUGAUCAUCAUCUUUUUGAAUUCAUAGAUUAGAUGAAGCAAAYGCUGUGAACUGAAACAUCUAAGUAGCAGUAGGAAAGUAAAGAAAUUUCGAUUCCGUCAGUAGCGGCGAGCGAACGCGGAAGAGCCCAAACCUGGAUGCUUGCAUCCAGGGGUUGUAGGACUGAUGUUGAGUUACAAAG